rnacentral:rRNA from 1 species
AAUUCGAUAUAAGUUAUAAUGUAUUGAAUCCGCGAUAGCCUUGAGGGAAACUGGGAUUAGAUACCCCAUUAUUCUUGGCCGUAAAUAGAUAAAAUCUACCAGAGUACUAUGAAUCAUUUCAAAAAUUUAAAACUCAAAGGGCUUGGCGGUGUUUUAGACCUUUCAGGGGAACCUGUCUCAUAAUCGACAAUCCACGCUAAACCUAACCUUUUUUUGCAAAACAGUUUGUAUACCGUCGUCGUCAGGUAACUUUUAAAAAAUUAGAAGUUGGCAAUAAAAUCAUAGUAGAUUUAAACGUCAGAUCAAGGUGCAGCUCAUAUAAAGGUGAGGAUGGGUUACAAUUAACAUUUAUAAUUACGGAUAAAACAAUGAAAUUCUUAUUUUAGUGAAGGCGGACUUGGAAGUAAAAAUAUUUAUAUAAAUAACUUGAAUAAGGCUCUGAAACAUGC